UCAGAUAUAAUUUGAAGGAUUUUGUAGGUUUAUUAAUAAGUGUCAUGAUCAGAAAAGAUUUAUAUUUAAAUACCAUACACAUCCAUAAAAACACAUCACAUUUAUGUUCGGACAACUUGCGUUCUCAUGCAUAAACACAGUUACAUCUUAUCAAAUAUAUAACCAAAUGUAAUACAUGUAUUAGAUCAAUUCGUUUCUCUCUUCCGUUUGAUAUUUAGAGUUUCACAUACCUUUAGAUUUCACAAUGUAAUGCCUUUUUAACCAAUAUUAUUUAAUACAUAAGGAUCCCCUCUAUAUGUGAAUACUCAAAUAUUUCCAUAGCCAAUAAGUAAUCGUUAGUUAUCCUCAUACCCCAACCCAUGUGGGCGCCAUAAUUAUCAACCAUCCUCAUACCCUCAACCCGUAUAAGUGUCAUAACCAGUCGAUCGCCACCAUACUCUAACCCGUAUGGGUGCUGCUGUUAUUCCAUAUGUAUAAUAGGGUUUGCCCUGCAUAACCAAAAUACAAUCAUUAUAUAAUCAAAGCACAAAUGUGACCAUCAGCUGCCCAGACCACAAUCCAUUUGAGCGCCAUAAACACCUACCGUAUGAGUGCCAUAAACCAUACCCUAACUCGUAUGGGCGCCUUUGUUAUUUUGUAUCCACAGUAAGGUUUGUUCUGCAUAACCAAAACACAAUUAUUAUAUAAUCAAAGCAAAAAUAUUCCAAUGUUGUAUCUGUGAUAUUUAUUUUACUAAUCAAAUUCCAAUGUUGUACUUUUACUUUUGUCCUUAAUCUUUUUGUCCUUAAAAUUAAGAAAUCAUCCGUUUAUUUAGCUUCCAAUUUUGUUUCUCCAUUAAUUUUAUAGUUAAUUUAAAAUUUAAACAUUAAGCAAAAUAAAAUAUAAUUUGAAAUAAUAUUUUGACGUAAUUAAAAUUCAAUGAUAAAUACAACAUAAUAUCUGACAAUAGUUUAAAAUUCAAUGAUAAAUACAAAAUAAUAUUUCGCAAUAGUUAAUUUUAUAUUUAUGUAAUACUAACACAUUCUUGACAUUCCAAGUGCAACAAAUAUUCAAGGAAAAUGAAGUGAACUUUAAAACAUCAAGAAAAAUGUAAAGUGAAAGUUAAUUCAAGUAUGAGGUAUCAUGAAAGGAUCAAGUCAUGUAGUAAGAUUAAAAAGCAAACUAGUUAUCUGCCCUUUGGUAUGUAUGUCUCUUAAGGUCUGCCCUUUGGCAUGUUCUUUGUAACCGACAUUGGGGAACCACCAUGACCCACCAUGGAGGAGUCGGCUUUAGCCACACUCACAAUAACAGAUGUAGAAGAGGGUGGCUAGGAUAUCGUUGAUAUUGCACUGAACCCCCAUGAAUCCUAUGAUUUCUAUUUGGUUGGACGGUUUCUAACUAAAAUGGUUGUCAAAUUCAAAUUCAUGUGAAAUAAACUGGCCGGUGUGUGGCGUAAUGGUCCCGAAAAUUUAAAAAGAAUUGCAUAUAAUAAUUUUAGUGCGGAAGCGAAAUAAAGGUUAAAAUUAACAUCCCUUACAUGAUAACUCAAAAAUACUAACAAACAUCACAGAACAAAUUUUCUGAAGAAAAUACGAAAAAUAGAAAAAAUAAAGGAAAUUAAUAAGUAUCUAGGGUCUACUCGUAGCCUUCUUGCGGAUCGGGCUCGGGAACCGGGUCCUCAUGAUAUGAAAUUGUUAAAUAAAUGGUGAGCUACACUACCCCAGUAAGGAUAUCAUAAUAUAUCACCGUCACAGAAGCAAAAGUUGAUAGAAAAAUCAAAAACAACCAAUAGAGUACAAAUUUUAAAUAAAUUCAUUUAUUAAUAAUAAAACCAUUUACCAUUUACUUACCGCAGUGAGAUUUAUAAAAACAACCUAUGCAAACAAUAACAUUAUAAAUAUCAUGAAUUCAUAUAUAAUCUGCAACAUAGCAUAUAUCGUACACGUGAACCCUUUCCAUUAACAAUCUUAAUUCCAGGACCAUCCCCAUACCCUGUCCGGUAUGAGUGCCAAGACAUUAAACCUCAAUACCUCGUCCGGUAUGAGGGUGAAGCGGGUCGUUCCCAUACCCUGUCUAGUAUGAACGUCAAAUGACCAAGUCUCCAUACCCCAUCCGGUAUGAGACAACGUUCAUGGUAGGAUUCCCUAUGAACUCAGUCCGUCCACCAUCUCCUAAGAUAUCUAAUGAGGCUGUCAUCUUAUCCAUUUAUCAGAUCACAUCCCUUUCCUGUUUAUCCUUAAUCUCCGUUACCAAAUUAAACACAAUCACAUAAAUAAUGAACAUGUACCCGGUAAUACAAUCAUAUCUUAAAUCCCAAAUCACACAGUGGUCAAGUAAUACAGUAAUACAUGCAUUUAAAACUUUAAGACCAGAUACCAUCAUGCAUUUAAACUGUAAAAUAAAUCAACAGGAAUCAACAGAGAAUAAUGUCCGGUUUCGGGCUCCAUUAGCAAUCUGUAAUUAAAUAUGAAUAUUUAUCUAACCUAUACAAAAGACCGUAUUAUUAUUUAUUCAAACUUCACAUCUAUGACAGGAAAUAGGGUAAGGGGUCCUUACUUGAUUUGGCGCCAACAAUUAGAUGGUUACUGUGCUUACGGGCGGUCCCUAAGUUCCCUGAAUUAAACGCGCUUACGGUACCUACAAGUAUCCCAAAUAAACCCAUUCGGCUCAUUUUCUUCUCCCUCAAGUACGGGUCGGCUGGAUCAGGCAUUCGGGUCUUCCCGAUGGGUCUCAGUCGGCCCAUCUGCAGGGACUUGCGGCAUGGGCCGUAUGUUCUUCUCAGGUGCGAUGCCUACUAGCCCACGGAUUGAGCCUAGCAAGCGGUGUAGCAGGUUAGGUGACUCAGGUUUCCCCCUCACGGGUGCCUCUCCUCCAUGUGCGACCUCAGACACACCAUCUUCGUCGAGUGUGGGCUUUUUUACAAUUCUUCAAGUUCAUUAAUCUUACUUGGGCCUUUAAGUCUUUUAGCUUGAACAAACUUGGCCAAUCUCUUGGAAUAAUCUCAAUUAGGAAAGUAAUCCGGAAUGAAAUUACUUUCAUAUUCUGGGCAUUCCUCAUUGAUGUUAUAUUGCAUCUUUGGAACUAUUUUUUGAUUUUCUAGGAUCACAUCAUCUCCCCCUUCUUUAAAAAAUUUGUUCUCGAAUCUGGGCCUUCAUCACAAGGGAAAAAGAUUAGUGAUUGCAAUAGAAAACAUAUCAUACCUCCCAGGUAUGUUUGUUUUAUUGUUUAUGCACUUCAUGACUUGAUUAACAAUUCUUUUGGGAUCGGGAUCAAAUCUUUGUAGCCCACUUAUCAUGAUAAUUAUCUGUAAGAGAAAAACAAUACGAAUAUGCAAAGAGUGGUUAAGGUCAAAAUGAAUCUCCCUAUAGGUAAGGACAAUCAAAAUUACAUUUUUAUAAGAGAUAUUACUUAACAUUGUGUCUUUAUGAUCAAGACACUUGUUUGUUUUUGCUCUAUGUUUUUCUAUUAAUAGACAAUCUUUAAUUUUCUGUCGGGCUUUUUUGAUGCUUAAUGGACCACUAGUUUCUUUUUCGACCUUCUCUAUCUCUUAUGCUCUCUUUGAGUAUUCAUGAAAGGACUGUUUAAUUUUAACAUGAUCUUCAUGUGCCUCUUUUGGUGAUAAAGGCAUAAGAACAUGAUUCAGACCGUCCUUUCACAAUGAGUAUUAGUUGGCGCAACUGCUAUGUUGUACCUGUCUGUCAAACUGCCAAGGUCUCCCAAGUAUCAAGUGAGUGACAUGCAUAGGUACGAUAUCACAACAUACCUCAUCGUGAUAUUUUCCGAUGGAGAAUGGUAUUAUGACUCUUCGGUAACUUGGGCUUCACCAUAUUCAUUCAAACACUUUAAUCGAUAGAGAUUCGAAUGCUUGAUGUAUGUCAACCUAGCUCUUUCCAUGAGUAGAGUGCUUGCCACAUUAGUAUAACUACCACUAUCAAUGAUCAUUCCACAUACCUUACCAUUGAUAAGGCAUUAUGUGUGGAAAAUAUUCUCCCUCUACUCGUUGCCUUCACUCAUAACUUACACGUUGAGAGCUCUUCAGAUAACAAGGAAAUUACUUUCACAGAAUGGAAGUAUGUCACUUUAUUGAAACAUAGUGAAUUUCCCUACAAGGUAAAGGUUAUUGAAAGAAAAUCUCUCCCUUGCCUUCACUCAUGUUUACCUCAGAAUCUCUCAAUUGACCGUUUCUUCUGUCGAGUUGAGCAUCUGGAAUCGAAAUCACUUGAAUCAGAUUUGCAUGUUAAUCCUUACGACACAACAAAGAACCCUAAAAGGAUCUGAUUUCUAUGGAAGCUCAUAAACAAGUACAUAGAAAAAAGACUAGUGUGUUUUUUAUGUGUUAAACAACUAGAAUCGAUUAGUCACUUAAUUUUUUUAUAAUGGAAUAAAAGUAAAAUAAAAGAUAGAAAUGUAGAUCACAAAGAAUGAAAAUUCGAACUGAUACAUAGGAAUCCGAUCAAUCCCAAUGGAUAUAACUGGAAGGUGUAUUUACCUAUACUACCCCUAAUUUGUCAGCUACCCCUACAACCGGUCAAGUUUCUUCAUGCAAUGUUGAUGCAGAAUUACAGAAAUGUAAUUCGAAAAUUAAACGUUAACAAUGUGCGGAAUGAAAACAAAAGUUUUCGCUCACACCUGUUAGGUAACGUACUUUGCCUUCGAUUUCUCAAAGGAUUUCCAGUCACCAGUUAGGCAGCUAUUAUGCUUUUGUGAUGUAAAAUGCAAACAAUAUGUCAAUUGCCUUAUGAGGUGCAAUUGGAAUAUUUUGGGUAUUUUUGAUAUAUAUAAUAUUUUUUAAUAAUAAACACGAAUUACUUGAAUUGAAUAGAUAGGUAUGAAUUGAAGCAGGAUGCAAUACGAACAAAUCAAAAAUUAAUUUGAAUUGUUAAUGAAUAAAAUGUUAAAAACAAAUAAAUAUAUAUUUAGAUUUUUAGGAGCCUAAGCUCUGAUACCAAAUGACGCGUGAGGGCAUGGGGAGGAUCGAAUCAACUCCUAUAACCCACUUAAUAUUGAAACUAUAAUCGCCUAGAUAAACCCCUCCCUCUAAUUGGAUCUAUAAUCUUAAAAAAAAAAAGCAAAAAUAAAGAAUAGGGAAGUGAAACAAGGAAAAGAAAAACACCACGGACUUACCGAUAAGUUGAUCCUCGAUCCUUUGCUCAAUAAGACUUCUGAAGACUCCUGUUUUUUGAAGAACUUGAAUAAGCUAAUUUAGCAGAAAUGCUAAAAAGAAGAAAAGUCUAAGCUUUCAUGAAUUCUCUCAAAUUGACUGUAAUUGGUUUUUUAUAACCUAUGGGGAGAAACUUAUUUAUAGCCUUUCCCGGACAAUCCAGAUGACUACAAGCUCUUGGAAUAAUUUCAUAAAAUGAUAGUCUAAAUAAAACUGUAUCUAAAUUUAGGAUAACUAUACAAUAAAAUAAUUAUUAUAUCUCAAAUAAAUCAAUUAAAUAAUCCUAAAGGAUACACUUAUAAUAAAAUAAUAAUUAAAAUAUCUUAAUACGUAUCCCAUUUGAAUUCCAUGUAAAAAAUAUGUGGAAAUUCCAUUAAAAUAACGAGAUAAAUUGUAGCGCCCGGGGAAAUUGAAGAAGAGAAGAAAAGAAAAAAAAAAAAAAAAAAAAAAACGCCCGUGCCACGUCAGCAGACCCAGUCAGCAGUCCUGGCCAACCAGGAUCUACCACGUGGCAAAAUCACGUCGACUGGGGACGGGCCACGUUGGCGAUCCGCGUGCGCGCGAUUGGAUGGCCCAGAUCAAUCGCGCGCACGGACGACCCAGAUUUAAUCGCACGGACGGCCCAGAUUUAAUCAAAAACGGACGACCCAAAUUAAAUCAAAAUAGACGGCUGAGAUCAAAAGGCAAAAGGGUAUAAAUAAGACCCCCACACCAGACCCCAAACCCUAGCCGCCUGCCCUCGCCGGAGAAGACGAACCAGAAGCCGGCCGGCGCACCGGAGGGAUUUCCGACCGCCGAUCGAGGUAAAUUUCAUACCCCCGACUCGUUUUUCCACGCUGAUUUCCCCAGUGGCUAAAUCGAAGCCAAAAUCCUGGCCAAACGGCCAAAAAAUACAGCCGAAAGCCAGCAGUGCCGCCGCGCCCCUCCUCGGUUUUUGCCUCCGAUGAGGCCCUUCCCGACCUCCGUUUAAUGCAAUUUUUAUAUCACCGUGAUCACCAUUCUUUUCUCUACAGGUUGAUCAGAGCCGAAUCACCAAAACACGAACUUCACCGGAGAGCCACCGCACCCGAGAGCACCGCCACCGGUAAGCUUCGGUUUUUCGUAAAUUUUCGGCCCCCCGAGGGCCGUAGGGUUGUUUUAUCGCAGGAACCAAUGCGAGUGUGGCCGAAUUCGGCCGGAAGCAGCCGAAAACGGCCAACCCGAGGCGAACCGCAGCUGCAAGCGGCGGCGCCGUCGCCGGAGCACGGCGGAGCCGCCGUGCUGGAGUUGCGAUAUUGGCCGAAAGGGGCCCUAGGCCUAAUUUGGGAUUUUUUGGAACACGUGCAGGUACCAGUAGUGCGUUUCAGUUCCCCGAGAAAAAUUCAGGAAAGAUUAGGGACAGCCUGCAAGCGCACUGUGAAGCCGUGUUCGGACCCCAAAACGAGUAAGGACCCCUCACCCUAUUUCCUAUCACGGUUUUAAAGUUCAAUAAAUGAUAAAACGGUAUUUCAUGAAUCAACGAAUAUGUGAAAUUGCUUAAGGUCGCUAAUGGAGCCCGAGUAUAGUGUGUUUGUCGGUUAACUGUUAUUUGGCCUGUUUACAGUUUUAAAUGCAGUAUGAGAUUUGAUGUUUUCAUUUUAUAGUUUCGUGUGCAUAUUCUACUGUUUUAUUGAUUAUGGAUUGAAUGACCGGGAUAUUGAUGCUGUAUGUUGUCUGUUUGGCAUAAACUAUCGUUUUGCUUGUUUGUAUGUGAUUGAUAAUGCUGACUGAGGGAAAAGGAGAAUGAAAGAUUAUGUAAAUGGAAAUUGUAUACUGUGGUCAGCCUGACUAGAUAUCCUGGGAGAUGGUGGACGGACCGGGUCCGUAGGGAACCCUACCGGGAUUGUGGUCUCCCAUACCGGACGGGGUAUGGAGAUCUUAUGUGUUUUGGCGCCCAUACCGAACGGGGUAUGGGGACGGCCCGUUUCACCCUCAUACCGGACGGGGUAAUGAGGUCUAUGGUUUGGCGCCCAUACCGGACGGGGUAUGGGGACGGCCCUGGAAUGGAUUUCAAGUGUUAAGGAUUAACGGGUAGCAUGACCCCUAUGGAUCCCCAUGGAUACUAGUGGGCUGGUGAAUUAGGAAAAUAUGUUGUGUAACGAUUGAAUUACGAAAAGUUUGAUAGGUAUUAUGUUAUACAGUUCAUAUAUAUGUUUUCAUGAUGAUGAUGAUGUUAUUGCUUUUGUAUAUUGUUUUAUGAAUUUCACCGAGGUAAGUGAAUGGUAAAGGUUUUAUUAUUAAUAAAAGGAUUUGUUGUAAAUUAUGCUCCAUUGGUCUUUUUGUGUUUUCUACCCACCUUUACCUCAGUGACGGUGAGAUAUCGUGAUGUCUUUACUGGGCUAGUGUAGCUCAUUCCUUAUUUAAUCAUUUCAUAUCAAGAGGACAUCAUUCCCGAGCCGGUUCCGCAGGAGGACGACGAAGGGGACGCCUAAAGACUCCAUAGUCACAUUCGUAGUUUUUACUUUCAAGUUUCUCCUUUAGGUAGUUUGAUCUUUUAUAUUUUGUGAGCACGUUUUUGGUUUUAGUGUAAGGGAUGUUAUUCAAAUUUUGACUUCGCUUCCGCAUUUGAUAUUUAUAAUAUAAAAUUUAUUUUAAAUUUCUGGGGCUGCUACAGUUGGUAUCAGAGCCGCAUUUCCUCGGACCCAUCCCUUACACAAUAGUGCCUUAGAGAAAUACUCACCGAUAUAUCGUUACUCAAUCAUUCCUUGUGAAUGCAGGUACACGGGAAUGAGGAGAGGAAGGCCCCCACUAAACCGAGCGGCCCCAGAUAAUCACUUCGGGAGGAUUUAGAUAGACUAUUCGAGAUAGUGGAGGCUCUCGCAGCUGCCCAGCGAAGGCAAGAGGAGAGAAGGGAGUUACCGGGACCUCCUCCGCUAGCGCAGGUUGAGCCCCCGCUACAGCAGGCUGAUCCCGAGCCACCCCGGCAGGAGCUUGUUCCUCCACGGUACCACCCGGCACCACAGCCGCGGUACGACCUGGUACCACAGCCACAGUAUAAACAGGUGCCGCCACAGCACAUUCCAGUGCCCCCACCACAUCAGCAGGCGCCACCACAGGGUCCCCCAGUUCACCCUCAACCGGCCCCAGUCCCUCUACCUCGGGACCCCGCUCCCUCCUUGAUCGACCCCGGCUUCAUAGAGAGGUAUAGAAGACUGAACCCUUCUACUUUUUCAGGGGAUCCUCUUUCGAAGAGGCCCAAUACUGGCUGGCAGAGACCGAGAGAGCUUUCGAGACCUUGGGAGUAGCUCCUGAGCAGAGGGCUGCCAUUGCCUCCUACAUGCUGGUAGGGGAAGCAGUACGCUGGUGGGAGCUCAAGCGGGCCACCUUGCCUGUACCAGUUACUUGGGAGCAGUUCCUAGCAGCCUUCCAUGCGGAGUAUCUCCCUAAACACAUCCAACAUUUAAAGGAAAUGGAAUUUGCUCAAUUGGUCCAGGGAAAUAUAACAGUGUCGGAGUAUGCCCGCAAGUUCCUAGAGCUGGGCCGACAUGCCCCGGAGACAUUGUUGGAUGAGGGCCGAAAGGCCAGGAAAUUCCAAUGGGGUCUCCGCCCGGCGAUCAGACAACACUUAUUGGUGAUGGAGCUCGAGACAUAUUCGGCAGUCCUGGCAAAGGCGCAGAUCAUAGAAAAGAGCUUCGACACCCGCCCUCAGCUAGCGGGAAGUUCCCGACCCUCAGCCCCGCUCCGCAGGCCAGCGCCUACCAUGCCUGUCCAACCCAGUAAGAGGCCCAGACCUGCCGUCCAGGCCCCUCCUCAGGCUAUGGGGGCAGCACGUGGGAAGAUCUGCCAGUACUGCGGCAGAGAUCAUGGGGACCGACCCUGCUACCGCCUCAACAACACCUGUCGCAUAUGCGGCAGUGCCCAGCACUAUGCGAGGGAGUGCCCUAGGAACCAGAAUCAAGGGAGGCCUCCAAUCCAGGGCAGAGUUUACAACCUUACCCAGAAGGAUGCCGACGCAGACCCGGAUGUGGUACAUGGUAUGUAUACUAUCUCUGGCCACAUUGCUCAUGUUUUGUUUGAUACUGGUGCAUCACAUUCUUUUAUUUCACAUGUUCUUGCUUCCAAAAUUUGUGUAUCACCUGAUAGACUUGAUUCAUUAUUGCUUGUAUCUACCGCUGGGGGGGAGACAUUGCUAGGAGAGGUUGUCUACAGGGCAUGUGCCAUGGAGAUAGCAGAUAGGAAAUUGAGGGUAGACCUGAUAGGGUUAGACACAGGGGAUUUUGAUGUAAUCCUAGGAAUGGAUUGGCUAGCGGCGUAUCACGCCACCAUAGACUGCUUUAACAAAAAGAUUGUAUUUAAUCCUCCCAACGAGGAGCCAUUUACAAGUUAAUAAAAUUAUUCGGUACUGAUUUCCCCUAAUGGCAAAUUCUUUUCUUCUUAAUUCCCAGUGCCUUAAUAUUGUAUUUUCUCUAACUAGGUAAACCCAAGAAAGAAGUUUAUAUCCAAGAGAUUCCAGUAGUCCGAGACUUUCCAGACAUAUUUUCGGAUGAACUGCCCGGUCUACCAGGGGACAGAGAGGUCGAGUUCACCAUAGAUUUACAGCCAGGAACCCAGCCCAUCUCGGUAGCUCCUUACCGAAUGAGCCGCAUCGAGAUGGAAGAGCUAAGGAAACAAAUCACUGAGCUACAAAACUGUGGCUUCAUUAGACACAGCAUUUCCCCAUGGGGUGCCGGGGUUACUUUUGCAAAGAAAGGGGAUGGAACGUUGAGACUGUGCAUUGAUUAUAGAAGGAUAAACAAGGUAACAAUUAAGAACAAGUACCCUCUUCCCCGGAUUGAUGACCUUUUCGAUCAGUUGCAGGGUGCACAGGUCUUUUCCAAAAUAGAUCUACGAUCAGGUUACCAUCAGGUAAAAGUGAGAGCCGAAGACAUCCCUAAGACGGCAUUCUGAACCAGGUACGGACACUAUGAGUUCCUGGUUAUGCCGUUUGGGCUAACCAACGCCCCGGCCAUCUUUAUGGAUCUAAUGAACAGAAUCUUCAGAGAAUUCUUGGAUCAAUUUGUCAACGUGUUUAUCGAUGAUAUCUUAGUCUACUCAAAAAGUAGGGAAGAACAUGCUCAUCAUCUUGCCCAAGUCCUACAGGUACUCAGGGAAAAGAAGUUGUAUGCGAAGUUGAGCAAGUGUGGAUUUUGGCUCGAAUAAACCGCCUUCUUAGGACAUGUUAUAUCGAAGGAAGGGGUGUCGGUGAACCCUGAAAAGGUUGAAGCGGUACUUGGUUGGGAAAGGCUGACAACAGUUAAGGAAAUUCGCAGUUUUCUAGAGAUGGCAAGUUAUUACCGCCGGUUUGUCGAAGGGUUCUCUAGUCUAGCAGCUCCUCUGACCCGACUCACAAAGAAGAAUGCAAGGUUUGAAUGGAAUGAGAACUGCGAGAGGAGUUUUUCAGAGUUGAAGAAGCGACUGACUACUGCACCAGUGCUGGCUCUACCGAGUGGAUCAAGAGGGUACACAGUUUAUAGUGAUGCCUCCUAUCUAGGCCUGGGUUGUGUCCUAAUGCAGCAUGGAAAGGUUAUAGCAUAUGGGUCUAGACAGCUAAAGAAUCAUGAGAAGAACUAUCCUACCCAUGACUUGGAGCUUGCCGCAAUCAUACACGCCUUGAAAACCUGGCGCCAUUAUUUGUAUGGAGAGACCUUUCAGAUCUACACCGAUCAUAAGAGUUUGAAGCAUAUCUUCACUCAGAAGGAUCUCAACAUGCGUCAGAGAAGGUGGAUGGAACUCCUCAAGGACUAUGAUUGUGACAUCCUAUACCAUCCAGGUAAGGGCAACGUGGUGGCCGAUGCCCUCAGCAGGAAAAGUGCAGGCACCCUAGCCCAUCUGAUGGUUUCAGAAUGUAGGUCCAUUGGGGCUACACAGCAGGUUCGCCUGCGAGACCUGAAGAGAGUCACAUGUUUGGGCCACCUAGCAGUCCAACCCGAGUUAAUCCAAAGAAUAAAGGAAGCCCAGUCAGUCGACCCCGCCCUAGUAACCCGCAAGAAGAAUGCAGAACAGGGAGUGAGCUCAGAAUUUCAGAUCUCUGCUGACGGAUUGAUUCGUUUCAAGGACAGAGUGUGUGUCCCAGACGACAGUGAGUUAAAAAGAGACAUCAUGACAGAGUCCCAUAGUUCAAGGUUCGCCAUGCAUCCAGGAAGUACGAAAAUGUACCAAACUAUGCGACCUCGGUUCUGGUGGAAUGGGAUGAAGAGAGAUAUAGCCGACUUUGUAUCUAAGUGCUUGGUAUGUCAGCAGGUCAAAGCAGAACAUCAAUGCCCGGGCGGGUUACUUCAGCCUUUACCGAUUCCAGAGUGGAAGUGGGAACACAUCACUAUGGACUUCGUAUCGGGACUACCCAAGGCACGAUCGGGACAUGAUGCUAUAUGGGUAAUUGUUGACCGACUCACUAAGUCUUCCCACUUCCUGGCCAUCAGAAUGACUGAUCCUUUGGAUAAGUUUGCAAGAAUGUAUAUCCGAGAGGUAGUCAGACUGCAUGGAGUUCCAGUAACAGUGGUAUCCGACAGGGAUCCCAGAUUCACUUCUCGAUUUUGGAAUAGUUUCCAGCAAGCUAUGGGAACAAAGCUGUCUCUUAGUACUGCUUUCCACCCCCAAACCGAUGGACAAUCAGAGAGGACAAUUCGUACGCUAGAGGAUAUGCUCCGAGCUUGUGUCCUUGACUCCGGGGGCCAUUGGGACGACCACCUACCCCUGAUAGAGUUUGUUUACAACAACAGUUACCAAGUAAGCAUCGGCAUGGCCCCAUACAAGGCGCUAUACGGGCGUCCGUGCAGGUCACCGAUCUAUUGGGAAGAAGUGGGCGAUAGAAGAUUGUUUGGCCUGGAUUUGGUAGAAGAAAUCAUGUCCAAGAUAGUUAAGAUCAAGAAGAACAUCCAGACAGCUCAGAGUAGGCAGAAGAGUUAUGCUGAUACCCGGAUGAGAGACCUGGCCUUUGAGAAAGGCGACCGGGUGUUUCUUAAAGUCACCCCCUUCAAGGGAAUUAGUAGGUUCGGCAGGAGGGGAAAAUUAAACCCCAGAUAUAUUGGACCCUUUGAAAUCUUAGACAAGAUUGGUACCACUACCUACAGACUUGCACUGCCUCCUGAGCUCUCCCGGGUUCAUAAUGUGUUUCAUGUAUCUAUGCUACGUAAGUACAAUCCGGACCCUUCUCAUGUCUUGGCUCAUGAACCGCUUCCACUCCGAGAGGACUUGUCUUAUGAAGAAGUACCGGUCGGUAUCACGGAUCGAGAGAGCAGAAUACUCCGCAACCGGGAAAUAUCAUUUGUAAAAGUCAUGUGGCAGAACCACACGCCCAGGGAGGCCACCUGGGAACUGGAAUCAGAAUUUAGGGCCCAAUAUCCCCAUCUGUUCGAUCAAGAGUAACGAAGCAAAUUUGGGGACCAAAUUUCUUUAAGGGGGGGAGAGUUGUAGCGCCCGGGGAAAAUUCAAGAAGAACAAAAAAAAAAAAAAAAAAAAAACGCUCGUGCCACGUCAGCAGCCAUGUCAGCAGACCCAGUCAGCAGGCCUGGCCAACCAGGACCUGCCACGUAGCAAAACUACGUCGACCGGGGACGAGCCACGUUGGCGAUCCGCGUGUGCGCGAUCGGACGGCCCAGAUCAAUCGCGCGCACGGACGGCCCAGAUUUAAUCAAAAACGGACGGCCCAAAUUAAAUCAAAAUGGACGGUUGAGAUCACAAGGCAAAAGGGUAUAAAUAAGACCCCCACACCAGACCCCAAACCCUAGCCGCCUGCCCUCGCCGGAGAAGACGAACCAGAAGCCGGCCGCCGCACCGGAGGGAUUUCCGACCGCCGAUCGAGGUAAAUUUCAUACCCCCGACUCGUUUUUCCACACUGAUUUCCCCAGUGGCCAAAUCGGAGCCAAAAUCCUGGCCAAACGGCCAGAAAAUACAGCCGAAAGCCAGCAGUGCCGCCGCGCCCCUCCUCGAUUUUUGCCUCCGAUGAGGCCCUUCCCGAUCUCCGUUUAAUGCAAUUUUUAUAUCACCGUGAUCACCAUUCUUUUCUCUACAGGUCGAUCGGAGCCGAAUCACCAAAACACAAACUUCACCGGAGAGCCGCCGCACCCGAGAGCACCGCCGCCGGUAAGCUUCAGUUUUUCGUAAAUUUUCGGCCCCCCGAGGGCAGUAGGGUUGUUUUAUCACAGGAACCAAUGCGAGUGUGGCCGAAUUCGGCCAGAAACGGCCGAAAACGGCCAACCCGAGGCGAACCGCAGCCGCAAGCGGCGGCGCCGUCGCCGGAGCACGGCGGAGCCGCCGUGCUGGAGUUGCAAUAUUGGCCGAAAGGGGCCCUAGGCCUAAUUUGGGAUUUUUUGGAACACGUGCAGGUACCAGUAGUGCGUUUCAGUUCCUCGAGAAAAAUUCAGAAAAAAUUAGGGACAGCCUGCAAGCGCACUGUGAAGCCGUGUUCGGACCCCAAAACGAGUAAGGACCCCUCACCCUAUUUCCUAUCACGGUUUUAAAGUUCAAUAAAUGAUAAAACGGUAUUUCAUGAAUCAACGAAUGUGUGAAAUUGCUUAAGGUCGCUAAUGGAGCCCGAGUCUAGUGUGUUUGUCGGUUAACUGUUAUUUGGCUUGUUUACAGUUUUAAAUGCAGUAUGAGAUUUGAUGUUUUCAUUUUAUAGUUUCGUGUGCAUAUUCUACUGUUUUAUUGAUUAUGGAUUGAAUGACCGGGAUAUUGAUGCUGUAUGUUGUCUGUUUGACAUAAACUAUCGUUUUGCUUGUUUGUAUGUGAUUGAUAAUGCUGACUGAGGGAAAAGGAGAAUGAAAGAUUAUGUAAAUGGAAAUUGUAUACUGUGGUCAGCCUGACUAGAUAUCCUGGGAGAUGGUGGACGGACCGGGUCCGUAGGGAACCCUACUGGGAUUGUGGUCUCCCAUACCGGACGGGGUAUGGAGAUCUUAUGUGUUUUGGCGCCCAUACCGAACGGGGUAUGGGGACGGCCCGUUUCACCCUCAUACCGGACGGGGUAAUGAGGUCUAUGGUUUGGCGCCCAUACCGGACGGGGUAUGGGGACGGCCCUGGAAUGGAUUUCAAGUGUUAAGGAUUAACGGGUAGCAUGACCCCUAUGGAUCCCCAUGGAUACUAGUGGGCUGGUGAAUUAGGAAAAUAUGUUGUGUAACGAUUGAAUUACGAAAAGUUUGAUAGGUAUUAUGUUAUACAGUUCAUAUAUAUGUUUUCAUGAUAAUGAUUAUGUUAUUGCUUUCGUAUAUUGUUUUAUGAAUUUCACCGAGGUAAGUGAAUGGUAAAGGUUUUAUUAUUAAUAAAAGGAUUUGUUGUAAAUUAUGCUCCAUUGGUCUUUUUGUGUUUUCUACCCACCUUUACCUCAGUGACGGUGAGAUAUCGUGGUGUCUUUACUGGGCUAGUGUAGCUCAUUCCUUAUUUAAUCAUUUCAGAUCAAGAGGACAUCGUUCCCGAGCUGGUUCCGCAGGAGGACGACGAAGGGGACGCCUAAAGACUCCAUAGUCACAUUCGUAGUUUUUACUUUCAAGUUUCUCCUUUAGGUAGUUUGAUCUUUUAUAUUUUGUGAGCACGUUUUUGGUUUUAGUGUAAGGGAUGUUAUUCAAAUUUUGACUUCGCUUCCGCAUUUGAUAUUUAUAAUAUAAAAUUCAUUUUAAAUUUCCGGGGCUGCUACAUAUGAUAAUAAUAAUAAUAAUAAUAAUUGUGAAAAGUUUUAAAGAAUAAAAAUUAGUUGGGAUAAAAUUCAAAAUUCCUACACGAUCUUAACUCCGCUCACUCAGAAUAGUAAUUCGCAUGUCAGCUAAUUAAAUGAGACUGAUAUAUCAUAUUUUUAGUACAAAAUGGACUAUUAAGUUUAACUAAAAUCAAUUGAACAUUAAUUUGUAACUCAAAAAUAAGAAAAAUUUAAAAAUGAAACCCAAUUCAUUUAUUAGUAUAACAAAAGUACACGUCUAAACGAUGAAUGUACUUAUUACAUAUAUAUUAAGUAACUUUCUUGCAUGUCUCGUAGGAAAAUGCCGAUCAUCAUUUGGUCUUGAAAUCUGUAACAUUUAUCAGGUAUUAUUACUACAACCAUUAGUAAAAGAAAAAUGACGUGAGAAGGAAUAAAAAAAUACAUAUAAAAAAGAUCUAUCAGGUUAUAUAUUAGUUAGUAAACUAUCUAAACAUAAGUAAUAGACUUUAAAUCUAAACAUAGUUAGUAAAAUAUUUUUGCAUUUCAUUAUAAAUUUUAUUUGAGAUUUGAAAAUCCUGAAAGUGAUUAUUUUAGAAUGUUUAUUAAAUAUUUAGGUUAGUUUCAGCUCGACCCUUAUGGUUUGAUUUUUUUUUUUUCACUUUAGGACCCUAUGUUUUUCUUUUUGUUAACAAUUUAGUACUUUGUGAUUUAUUUGUUGAAUAUAUAUAUAUAUGUGAACAUUGUUAUUAAGAAAGAAAAUUUUGUUACACGGCCACUCCACAAGAUGACACGUGACACCAGAAAAAGUAAAAUGAUUAACUUUGACAUUAACAACACUAAUUAAAAUUAAUCAUAAUUAAAAACAUUUUGAUUGAUUUUGAAAACAAAAGAAAAAAUAAUAAUUCCUUGCUUCGAAGCCAACAAAUUCUUCCUUCUUUGCUUCUUCUCUUCUUCAUUAUUCACUUCUCCAACUUCCUCCACAUGAAUAAAAAAUUGUAGGUUAGUAGUUGGCACCCUUCUUUGUCAUCUCUGCUUUUUUUUCUGACUUUAAUAAUCAAGGUAGAGAAAACCCUAAUAGAGAUCACCUUUGUGUCCUCCCCUCUACAUUUUGUUUUUGCUUAGGGUACUUUCACUUUAACCUAAUAAAUGUUUCUUAAUGUAUAUCUUUUCUUAAUUAAAUUUUAAUUUCUACUUAGGGUUUUCUUCCCUGAUUAAACUGCUUAUUUAUGUAUAUCUUUUGCUAUAAGUGGGUUGGGCCGAAACAUUUUGGUCUUUUUUCAAUAGAUAAGGAUUGGGUUGAGGUUUUUCUUUGAGUUUUGUUUUGGGUUUGGGUCAUAUAAUACUAAUAAUACUAACAAUUGUGAAAAGUUUUAAAGAAUAAAAAUUAGUUGGGAUAAAAUUUAAAACUCCUAUACGAUCUUAACUCCGCUCACUCAGAAUAGUAAUUUGCAUACGUCAGCUAAUUAAAUGAGACUGAUAUAUCAUAUUUUUAGUACAAAAUAGACUAUUAAGUUUAACUAAAAUCAAUUGAACAACAAUUUAUAACUCAAAAAUAUGAAAAAUUAAAAAAUGAAACCAACUUGUUUAUUAGUAUAACAAAAGUACACGUCUAAACGAUGAAUGUACUUAUUACAUAUAUAUUAAGUAACUUUCUUGCAUGUCUCAUAGGAAGAUGUCGAACAUCAUUUGGUCUUGAGAUCUGUAACAUUUAUCAGGUAUUAUUACUACAACCAUUAGUAAAAGAAAAAUGACAUGAGAAGGAAUAAAAAAAUACAUAUAAAAAGGAUAUAUCAGGUUAUAUAUUAGUUAGUAAAUUAUCUAAACAUAAGUAAUAGACUUUAAAUUAGACUUAUACAAUUUAUUGAAUUUUUAAAAAAAAUAAACUGAUAACGCUUAGAUGAUCUAUGAACUCAUUUAUAUUCUUUAAGCAAUAUUUGAUAAGAACAUAUUACCGGAUGACAAAAAUGUUGUGGGUUGAUCAUGAGCAUCUACCGUACAUUGGUUUAAACAUGCAGAUAAACAAGCCCCUCGGAAUCUACCCAAGCAUUUGCUCGAACAUCUUCGAUAGCAGUCUUCGUCAACUUUGGCUUCCAUAACCACGACAAGAAGAAGCAACAGAACGCUGAUAAUCAUACCUCUACCCAUUUUCUUAUAUCUGAUGUUUUUACUUCAGUAUGUUUAUUAUUUAUAGAGCUUUACUAGUACUUUACCAAUAAAAUAUAUUUAAUGUGCGGUUGUUUCUUCCAUGUAAAACUAGAAUUCCCUUCACUUUUUUCUUCACAAUACGCAAAAGAAUUUUGUAACCGGCCAUAAAUUUAAUAUUAUAAUUUUACGAUAAUAAAUUAUGUGUAACGUUUUCAUAAUUAAACAAAUUAAGUAAGAAAGUAUCCACUAAGAAAAAAACAAAUUAGAUGUCAUAUCUUUGCUAUAAAUGCAUUGAAUUUAUUUAUAAUUAAAAAUAAAAUUCAUUAAGUGAUGUCUAAAAACAGAUUGAAUUCAUUAAAUAAACAACUAAAUAAUUUUGAAAUUAAUUAUAAAAAUGAUCAAUUUAAGCAUUUUUUUAGUAAUAAUAAUGGUAUAAUAUGUCCAAUGAAGUAUUAAAUAAUAAUUUUAGGAGAAGAAUAUUGUAGAAAUCUCUAUUUUAUAUUUGAGAUAUUUUUAAUUGAUUUCGUAUAAAAUAAAAUAACUUCAAUCAAUCUGUGAAUUAUAUUCUCAUAUUACAAAUUAAAAAAGUUUAGAUUUUUACUUAAAAUAAUAUUAAAUGAGUCUAAAUUUUUCUUUUUUUGGGGUUACAAUUAUAAUUGUUAUAUAUCUGGUUCCUAAUUUUUGCUUCUAUUUUCGUCCUUAACCUUUUUGUCCUUAAAAUUAAGAAAUCAUCCUUUUAUUUAGCUUCCAAUUUUGUUUUUGCAUUUGUAAUACCUGGGCCCAAAAACUGGCCCGGGAUAAUUCUUUUUAUUUAAAAAAGUUAUCUAAAUAAUUAAUUUAACAUAAUUUUAAUUUAAUUUUGUUUAAAUUUUUGGAAAAAAACGAAAUGUGGACAAAUUUGAAAAUUAUUUUGGGGAAAAGGGGUGAAAUUUUGACUAAAGGGGGUAUUUUUGAAAGAAAACUUGAAAACAGGGAGUAAAAUCGCAAAAAGAGAAAAUUCAGCCACGUGGGACAGCCAAAUCAGCAGUCACUGCAAACUAAAGCACGCCGCAUGGCAAAACACACUGACAUUGGCGCCAUGUAGGCGAUCCGUGUGCUUGGCGAUCCGACGGUCUUGAUCACGUUCUGCGUGUAUGAACAUCUUAGAUGCAUUCCCUCUUUAUUCGCGAUCGGACAGGCGAGAUCAAUCACGAUGAACCAUCUGAUUCGCCCACAUAAUCGGCCUAAACAAGACAGAAUCGGAUGGCUCUCCUCGCUCCACGUCGACACCGACGGACGACCCAGAUUGAUACGGGAUGAGUAUUUAAACAUGCGUCUCAUGGAACCCUAACCCUAGUCGCACCUACCCUCGCUAGAGAAGAACCAGACGUUGGAGAUGAAGAUCGACCAACGGCUACUGCCACACUGGAGGCAACGUCGACCUCCAAAAAGGUAAAAAGUUCCCCUUAUCGUUCAAAUUUUGAUUUUGAGUCUCUCUGUGGCCAUAUCGGAGCAAAAGGGACAAUGGGUGAGCUGAAAAUCGUGGGCAAAGCCCGACGAAGCCGCGGCGGCAAAAACCCUAAAACCUCAUUGAUAAACCCAUUCUCGUUUCUUUUUUUACAUAACUUUUUUACUAUUAUGUUCACCGUCCUUUUCUUUGCAGAUUAGCCAAAGAAUAAACCUCAGCCAGGUCGAAGUGAACCGCCGUCGUGGGUGGAGGAGCCGGCACUGGAGCAUGGCGACAUCGUUGUGCCGAAAUCUUAAAAUUGGCCAGAAAGGAUUUUCAACACUAAUUUUAGGCUUGAGGUAUUUUUAGGUACGUGAUGAGUAUUUUGAUUCCCGUAGAAAAAAUUCAUGAAAUCUAAGACUCGUUAGGAGGCAUAGUAGUUAGUACAACAUUUCAAAACAUAGAUCCGGGUAAGGAUCCCUCACCUUAUUCUCUGUUACGGUAAAUUAAAGAUUAAUAAUCGAUAAUUAUGUAUUUUGUAAAAAAUUAAAAAUACCUUAAAAAUAAUUAUAGGUCACUAGUGGAGUCGAAACUGGUUAGUUUAUAUUUGUCUUGAUUCCCUGUUUAUUUUUCCUAUAUUGCCUAAAUUACUUACUAUUAUAUUGUGCAUAUUUAAAUUGAUUGUUUUUAUGACCUUCUCGAUUAUUUGGUUUAUUUGGUUCCUUCUGCAUUAUUUAAUUGGUUAUCUGGUUACUUACUUAUUCGGUUAUGUUAAACUAUAUCGUUUGCUUAAAUACUAUUUAAUUAAUCGGUGAAUAUGAAACGAGACGUUCAUAUACUUUGGUGGUUAUUUAGCUGAUGAGAAUCUAAAUAAAUGAAAGCUUACUGGGCAUCUCAGGAAAGGGUGGAUGGACCCGGUACAUAGAGAACCCUACUGUGGAUAUUACCUCAGUCGAACGGGGCUGAGAAGUCCCAUACCGGAAGGAUUUUGGGAGAUAUGGUUAACUCUCAUACUAGAAGGGGUAUCGAGGCGAUGGUGUUUUUGGCACCCAUUACCGGACGGGGUAUGCAACGGCUGGGUUAAAUGUCAAAACUUGAUACUGGGUCUACGAGUAGAGAGAUAUUCCUAUAGACCCCCAAGGGUCCCAGUAAGUAGGUUAAAAGAAAGAAUUUAUGAUCUUAUGUACGAAAUUAAAAUGUCACUGGGUUAUUUGUCUUCAUAGGUUGUUUUUGAAAAAAUAUGUAACGGUAAAUAUAAAAUAAAACAUUUUAGAGUUAAAUAUAUUAACUUAAAUCAAUGGCUUCGUGAGUUAUUUUGUGAUUUUUACCAAUCUUUGGUUUUUUGUAUCAAUGAUUAGUGUGAUAUUUUUACUGGGCUAGUGUAGCUCACCAUUUCAUUAACUAUUUUAGAUAAAGAAAAUCAAAAUUUAGAUCCUGAUCAGUAAGAGAGUUGUGAGUAGUUCAUCUCCCGGACUCCCUUCAAGUGCUAGUGGAGGUUAACCCCUAGGAUAUCUAUUUAUUUGUUUUUAAUUAUUAUUUAUCCUUUUUUAUGAAACAAUGUAGAAGAGACAUUUUCAUAGCCUUAUUGGGCAUUCCAAUUUACUGUGUAAGGAAUGUAAAUCCUAAUUUUAUUAUUUGCUUCUGCAUUAAAGAUAUAAAUUCUUGUCCUUUAAAGUUUCGAACCUUUACACCAUUAAUUUUAUAGUUAAUUUAAAAUUUAAACAUUAAGCAAAAUAAAAUAUAAUCUGAAAUAGUAUUUUGACAUAAUUAAAAUUCAAUGAUAAAUACACAAUAAUAGUUGACAAUAGUUUAAAAUUCAAUGAUAGAUACAAAAUAAUAUUUGACAAUAGUUAAUUUUAUAUUUUUGUAAUACUAACACAUUCUUGACAUUCGAAGUGCAACAAAUAUUCAAGGAAAUUGAAGUGAACUUUAAAACAUCAAGAAAAAUGAAAAGUGAAAGUUACUUCAAGUAUGAGGUGUCAGGAAAGGAUCAAGUCAGGUAGUAAGAUUAAAAAGCAAACUAGUAGUCUACCCUUUGGCACGUAUGUCUCUUAAGGUCUGCCCUUUGGCAUGUUCUUUGUAACCUACACUGGGGAACCACCAUGACCCACCAUGGAGGAAUUGGCUUUAGCCACACUCACAAAACAGAUGUAGAAGAGGGUGGCUAGGAUAUCGUUUAUAUUGUACUGAACCCCCAUGAAUCCUAUGAUUUCUAUUUGGUUGGACAGUUUCUAACUAAAAUGGUCGUCAAAUUUGAAUUCAUGUGAAAUACACUAGCCGAUGUGUGGCAACCGAUUAGGGGAGUGAGUGUCAAGGAUUUUGGUUCUGGGCGCUACCUAUUUCGCUAUUUUACGAGGUAGAUAUCCAAAGAAUAAUUAAUGGGGCACCAUGGACAUUUAACAACCAUCUUCUGGUUGUCCAUCGCCUCCAAGAUGGAGAGAACCCCCUCAUAGUUGAUAUAAAUGAUAGUCGCGUUUGGAUUCAAGUUCAUGCACUCUUGAGGGGCUGUAUGCCGGAAACUAUGACUAAAUAAUUUGGGAGUUUUCUUGAUAAGUACAUUUGUCAUGGACAUACCCCAUAUUAUAGGGUGAUGACUGGAGCAUACUUUCUUAAAUCAAAUAGACAUAAGUUAAGUAAAAUAACCUAACUUUAUUAAUCAUAACAAAGUCGCACAAGCAUUACAUCUCUUAAAUAUAAAACAUAAACAUAUAUACGAGAUUCUAAAUUCUUUGCUUAUAGUACUAAACAAAAGUACGAAACAAUAACUUUAAUCUCAAAGUCUAGCUUCAAAACUUUUCUCUGUAUCACCGCCCACUCUGCAGCGGUAUUUUCAGUAUCUGGAGGAUGAUAGGAGGGUGAGAUAAAAUAUCUCAAUAAUCGAUAUUAUGAAAUCAUAAUAUAGUACAUUCAAUAUACAGUUUCUUUGCACACAACAAAACAUAUAUCAUAUAAUCUUUUCAAAAUAGAUAUACGAAUUAAAAAACGAAUGCAUAAAUAAAUAAAAAAAUUCACAAUUGUGUCAUUGUAUACUUCAUCACUAUUAUGGAGAAUCAAUCAGUUACCAUGCAUUAUGCGUAAGCAUACAUACUUAUCACUUGUUCUCCAUCUACCUAAACACAGAACGACAUACAUGAGUACCUUGAAACACUGCUACCCCCGAACACGGAACAAUUAUGGCACGCAGAUCAGACUAUUUUUCCAUACAUUUGAACAUGGAAUGGUUAUGCAUGAAUACAUACUUAUCACUUCGCCAAUACAUUUAUAUACGAAACAGUUAAGUAUGGUCACAUUGAAGCCUAACAUAAUGCAGGUGCUUUCAGAAAAACUUCUUUCCAUAACAAGUGAUAGACACAUAUCAAAAUUACAUUUUGAAAAUAAAAAGCGAAAUAACAUUUAUAUCGAUGUAAAACGUUAACAAAUACUUACUUAGCAAAUACAAAAGACAAUUCAAACACUUUCAUAUUUUUAUACUAAAAAUACUUCAACACUACGUAGGCUAAUGAAUCCAUAAUAUCCACUUACCUUAGGUGCUUAGUAGUCAUAAUUUUAAUUUCGGGAUAGUUUUGGCUUUAUUUAUGACAUUUUUCUCUACAAAAUCUGGCAGAAUUUUGGGACAAUUUUUUAUCACUUUCUUAACUUAAAAAUAUACAACACAAUACUAAAAAACUAAUCCCAAAAAUUAAAAAGAAAUUAAACUUCAAAACUUAAAAAAAGACUUACCUUUUUAAUGAUUUAUAACCUUCUUUUGAUAGUGAGCCUUCUUCCUCUUCUUUUUCUUUUCCUUUAUUCUCACGAAUUCUUCUUCUUCUUUUUCUCUUCCUUUAUUCUCACGAAUUUAGCAAAGUUUCCUCAAGGUUUUUAUCUAAUACCUGACAAUACUCUCAAAAAUUACACACUUUAUACUCCUUUCCUCACCUCUAUGCUUCUCACUAUUUUCUCUCUUCCAAAAAUGUCUCUUUCUCAAUUCUUCCAUCCCCUAUUUAUAGGAAUGGGGAGGCACGAGAGAAAGGUUGCUACCAUUUCGCUAUAGUAUUUCAUCUAAAAGUUAUCAUCUUUUAUCAUAUCACUUCAUCUAAAAUGUUAGCAUUUUUCACAUGCUGCUAUAUCUAAAAUUUUUUUUCAUAUGUUACUUCAUCUAAAAGGUUACUACUUUUCACAUGUUAUUUCAUCUAAAAGCUGUCACUUUCUAUUAUAUCACUUUAUUUAAAAAUUUUCUCUUUUUACAAGUUAUUUUAUUUAAAAAUUGUCACUUUCUGUUAUAUCACUUCAUCUAUGAGUCUCCACUCUGAGGCUAUUAUGUAGACAGAAGUGCAAGUAUUCUUCCUACUAAGUGCAUCUGCAACCAUAUUGUCUUUUUCCAAAUGGUAUGAGAUCUUGCAAUCAUAAUCAUUAAGUAAAUCCAUCCAUCUCCUUUGGCGCAUAUUAUGUUCUUUCUGCGAGAACAAAUACUUUAAACUCUUAUGCUCUGUGUGAAUCUCAGAUCUUUAAGGAAAAAACUAUUGGCAGCUAGUUCUAAGUCAUCGAUCAGAUAGUUAUACUCAUGAUUCUUUAAUUGUCUAUAACCAUAUGUUAUCACUUUUCUAUGUUGUAUUAGCACGCAUCCUAAUCCUUACUUUGAAACAUCAUUACAAAUAAAGAAUCAAUUAGUACUAUUAGGAAUAGUCAAUACUAGAGCUAUUGUCAAACACUUCUUCAAUUCCUAAAAAAAUUAUUCACACUUAUCAUUCAACUCAAACUUUGUGUCCUUUUUAGUGAGCUGAGUUAGUGGAGUAGCGAUCUUUAAAAAACUUUCAAUAAACUUCCUGUAGUAUCUAUGUAGAUCGAGAAAACUUCAAACUUCAAUUACUGUUAGAGUCUUUUUCCAGUUUAUUACCGCUUCUACCUUAGCUAGAUCUAUUGAUAUCCCGUCCUUUGAAACUAUAUUUCCAAGAAAGGCAACAUCCUUUAACAAAAACUCACAUUUUUUAAACUUGGCAUACAACUUAUUUUUCCUAAAUAUCCCAAGAACUAUUGUUAGAUGCUCCGCAUGUUCAGCCUUGCUCCAUGAAUAAAUCAAUAUAUCAUCAAUGAAGACGAUAACAAACUUAUCUAAGAAUAGCUGAAAAACUCUGUUCAUCAAAUUCAUAAAUACCGCAAGAGCAUUUAUUAUACUAAAAGGCAUGAAUAAGAAUUCAUAAUGGUCAUACCUGGUCCUAAAGGUAGUCUUAGGAAUAUCUUCUUUCUUAGUAUUUUUUAAUUUAUGGUAUCCAAAACAUAGAUCAAUCUUUGAAAAUACUUGGGCUCCUUGAAGUUGGUCAAACAGAUCAUCAAUACGAGGCAACAGAUACUUAUUCUUUAUGGUAACUUGGUUCAGUUGCCUAUAAUCGAUAUAAAGCGGCAUAGUACCAUCAUUUUUCUUUACAAAUAGUAUUGGGGCUUCCUAUGGUGAUACACUUGGUCCAAUGAAACCUUUCAAUAAUUCUUGUAGUUGUUUAUUGAGUUCCAAAAGUUUGAUUUUCGCCAUUUGAUAUGGAGCCUUAGAGAUAGGGCUCCUACCAGGAACUAAGUCAAUAAAGAACUCAAUUUCCCAAUUUGAGGGUAGACUUGGAAGAUAUUCUGGUAAAACAUCAAAAAAUUCCUUCAUCAUGGGUAUCUAUUAUAGAUUGACUUCUUUACUUUUAUUCUCCACUACGUAAGCUAAAUACCCUACACAUCUCUUCUCAAGUAAUUGUUGAGCUUGAAUGCAAGAUAUGAGACAUGGAUGUUGGGGCUCUCUAAUCCCUUUAAAUUUGAAGGCCUUAUCAUUAAGAACAUUAAAGGUCACCAUCUUCCCGUGAUAAUCUAUAUUGUCAUGGUACACAGCCAACCAGUCCAUUUCUAAUAUGAUGUCAAAAUCAUACAUAUCUAAUAGUAUGACAUCUAUUGGUAACUCUCUAUUGGCAAUCUCCAUAAUACAUGCUUGAUGUACUGUACUAAUGGUUAAGUCCCUAUUGACUGGGGUAGAGACUACUAAUACAUAAUAUAAAGGUGACUGUUCAAUAUUCAGAUGUUGAGCAAACUCAUGUGAUGCAAAAGAGUGUAUAGACAUUGGAUCAAUUAAGACCUUAGCCAAGGUACUAGAGAUAGUGUGCAUACCUUGGACCACAUCCUAAGAGGCUUCGACAUCUCUCUCUGUAAUGGCAUAUACUCUUCUUUGAAUUCUUGUUCUGGUCUGCUCUUUGUUGGUAGGACACUCUUUGAUUUGGUGAUGAGUACUACCACAUCUUAAGCAUCUAUUUGUCAGUUUGUAGCAGGGUUUGCUACCAUGGUUCUUUCCACAAUGGGGGCAUUCUGCUAUGACCCUUGUGCUGGGAUUAUAAGGCUCGUCUUCUGCCUUUUAUUAGGUUGUUGUGGCUCCUAGGCCUUCCUCUUAUUGUUUGGUAUGAAUGGUCGAACCCGUUGGAUCUGUUGUGGGAUUGGGCUUGUAGCCUUUUUUGCAAUCUGGGUCCGUUCCAGUGCUUUUUGGCAAUCAUUAAUCUUCAUAACUAAGAUUUUAUCCCAUAUCUCCUUAUGCAGGCCUCUCUGAAACUUCCUAGUUCUUAGGCUUCUGUCUGCUACUAAGUGUGGCAUGAACCGAGCCAAAUCUAUGAAUUUUUUUGCAUAUUCUGCCACUCUCAUAUUCUUUUUACUUUAACUCUAAAAACUCCAUUUGCUUAUGUUCUUGAAUAAAGUUAGGGAAAAAUUUCUCAUAAAAGAUCGCUCAAAAUACUUUCCAAAGGAUUGGUGUCAUCAGGAAUCCCUUCUUCAAGCGCCGACAGUGUUCUGCAGCUCCUUUGAACAUGAAUGUGGCUAACUGUACCUUUUGCUCUGAAGUGGGUUUGGGAACUUCGAACAUUUUCUCCAACUCUAUGAUCCAUUGUCUGCUAAUAUCGGGUCAGUUGCUCUAGUAAAUGGUGGUGGGUUCAUUCUCUUGAAUCUUUCAAUAAGUUUUUUAUUAUUUUCCUCUAUCGACUGGGUGUUACUGGUACUAGUAUUAUUACUGUUAAUAGCAUUUUGUUUAUGGACUAUGUCUUGACCUAUCACCGUAGUCAAGCCUUCGACUAUACGCGAGUCUAUCUAGACUCUAUUCGAUCCAGUCUUUUGGAACCCGAUGUGCCUACUCUCUGAGUAUCCUUUACUAUUUCUACAUUAAUGAAAUUUGAACUUAGAGGCAUUUCACUAUGUUACACAACUCUAUUUAACUCUCAUGUAACUCUAAGCGUCGUAUUUAAGGGAUGUCUUAGAAUCGUGCUCUGGUACCACAUGUUAUGGACCACUCCAUCUAAUAGAGUAAUUACCAGAGCAUACUUACUUAAGUCAAAUAAACUCAAGUUAAGUAAAAUAACUUAACUUUAUUAAUCAUAACAGAGUUACAGAAGCGUUACAUCCCUUAAAAGCAAAAUAUAAACAUAUGUACGAGUCUCUAAAUUUCCUUACUUACAGUACUAAACAAAAGUACGAAACAGUAACAUCAAUCUCAGAGUUUAAAUUUAAAAAUUUUCUCCAUGUGCAGCAGUAUCUUCAGUAUCUAAAGAGGUAUAGAAGGGGUGAGAUAAAAUAUAUCAAUAAACGAUAUUAUGAAAUCACAGCAUAGUACAUACAAUAUAUAAUUUUUUUUACACACAACAAAAUAUAUAUCAUAUAAUUUUUCCAAAAUAGACAUACGAAUGAAGCAGCACUUAUCCAAAGUAUCCAAUUAAGUUUGAAUAGAAGAGAAGACAAACACAUUUAUGAUUUCUCCAAAAUGGUUAAUAUACAGUCAAAUCUGCAUAUCAAUAUCUGAGGGGGCCGCACUCUAAUCAAUCAGUCGAACAAUAUAAUGUUUGGAGAUUAUUAUGGCAAUCUGAAGUCUUGUCAAAAGUGCAGAACUUUACUUCGAGAUUGUUAACUGACACUUUCCCUGUUAAAGCUCGACUGAGAGUAAAAGGAAUUACAACUGAGAGUUGAUGCUCAUGUUGUGGGAAGGAGGAGACCAUCCAACAUACCUUGUUCGAGUGCGAAAAAGCAAUUAAAUAUUGGCAAAUUUGGUAUCCAAUUGUAGGCUAAAUAGACGUGUUGGCUGGAUGGCUUGUGUCCAAGACUAGGAUCCAACCGAAACAAAUGAAUGAAGAGAUAUUAUGCUUCUUAUAGCGCAUUUGGCUAGAGCGUAAUGAUUUCACCUAGAAUGGGAAAUUAUUUGUUGAUUGGUCAUCAAUCUAGUUAAUGCGGAAUUAAUUAAAUGAGUGGAGACAAGUGAAACGGAUCAGAGCUAUGGGUAAUAUAAGCCAAGAACAGUGCCAAAAGGUUCAGUACGAUGGCAAGCCCCUACUGCUGGUACCUGGAAAUGUAAUGUGGAUGGGGCGAUCUACGAACAUAACUCAGAAGCAGGUUAUGGGGUUGUUUUUCGGGACUCAACAGGGAAGGUAAUAAAGGCUUUAAUUAAAAGGAUAUCGGCAUGUCAAUCACUAUCAUUGUUGGUUUGUAGAAAUCUCAACAGACCUGGUAUACUAGAGAUAGACGCCCAUAAUGUAACGAUCACUAUCGUAGCCCUAUAUCCAAUCAACUCUGAGUUUGGGGUUAUUGUCGAAGGCUGCAAAGAGAUGUUAACUUCAAGACCGUACAUCUUUAUUAACUGGAUUAGAAGCAAAGGAAAUGUAGUGGCACAAUGACUCGCGAAAGAAGCCCAUUCGUUUUCCAGUUUGUAUGUAUGGGAGACCUUGCCUCCAACCUAUAAUGUAUUACUUUGAUGAUUAAUAAAAGUCGUUCUUUAAAAAAAAGCAUGAAGUGUAAAAAUUUUAUUUUUUAUUUUUUGUGAUUAGAUUAUUUAAUUUAAAGUUCAAAAAGUAUUAUUUUUGCAUUUCAUUCUAAAUUUUCUUUUAGAUUUGAAAAUCUUGAAAGCCUUCAUUUUAGAAUAUUUGUUAAACUUUUAUACUAAUUUUAAUUUGACCCCUUGUAAUUUAACACUAGAUGCGACAACCCGUACCCCAGAAGGAGGCAAGGUAUCAUUCCACAUGUUCCCAUCUUCUUGUCAUACAACUUACAGAGGAAGUAUAAUCAUGAAUAGUUCCUACAAAUGGGCCGACUGAGACCCAUCGGGAAGACCCGAAGGCCUGAUCCAGCCGACCUGCACUUGAGGGAGAAGAAAUUGGGCCAAAUGUCUGGCCCAGCAAGUCGGCCCAGUAGCCUAGCCUAGCAGCAGCCGCAGGCCCAGUUGAGAAGAAACCUGAGCAGGUCGCGGAGCCAUGAGGCUUGAUGGCUGCGUGCACGCAGGCUCGGCCUAAGCCACAUGAGCACGUGCGGGCUUCCCUAACCCACACAGGUGAGGUGUGUGAUGUGUGUGGGAGAGGGGAACAAGUGGCAAGCUUUUGGACUUCUUUUCACCACAUGCUCCAUGUGAUUUUCCAUCCCAAAUUCCAUAAAAUUCACAUGGUAAUUAUCACCUAUUUAUUUAAUUAUUAUUAUUUAAAUUAAGAUGAUUAAUUAUAUAAUAUUUUAAUCUUAAGGUUAUCCUAAGCUAUUAUUUCAUUAUAUUAUUGAUCUUAUUAUUUUAAUAUAAUUUCCACAUGUGUUUUACAAGGAAGUCACAUUGGAUAAGAAUUAAGAUAUUUUAAUUAUUAUUUUACUGUAAGUCUAUCCCUUAGGAUUAUUUAAUUAAUUUAUUUAGGAUAGAACAAUUAUUUUAUGGUGUAAUUAUCCUAUAUUUAAAUAUAAUUUUAUCUUGGGUAUUAUUUUAUUGAAUUAUUCCAAGAAUUUAUACUCAUCUAGAUUGUCUGAAAAAUGCUAUAAAUAGACUUUUGCCCAUAGGUUGUAAACACACCAAUUACAAUCAAUUUGAGAGAAUUCUUGAAAGCUUAAGUUUUUUUCUUUUUAACAUUUUUGCUAAAUUAGCUUAUUCAAUUUCUUCGGAAAGCAGGAGUCUUAUUGAGUGAAUGAGCGGGGAUCAACUUAUUGAUAAAUCCAUGACAUUUUUUCUUUCCUAGUUUUAUUUUUCUAGUCUUUGUUUUUCCUUUCCUUUUAAUAUUGUAAAGUCAAUUAGAGGGAAUGAUUUAUCAAGGCGGUUAUAGUUUCGGUAUUACAUUUGUUGAAUGAGUUAUAGGAGUUGAUUCGAACCUCCCCAUACCCUCCCCUGUCAAAAUCAAUAACAAUAAGUCUUGUUUUGCUUUUACUUUUGUCCUUAACCUUUAUAUCCUUAAAAUUAAGAAAUUGUCCUUUCGCUUUGCUUCCAAUUUGGGCUCUGACCUAGAAAUAUUUUUGCAUUUCAUUAUAAAUUUUAUUUGAGAUUUGAAAAUCUUGAAAGUGAUUAUUUUAGAAUGUUUAUUAAAUAUUUAGGUUAGUUUCAGCUUGACCCUUAUGGUUUGAUUUUUUUUUUUUUCACUUUAGGACCCUAUGUUUUUCUUUUUGUUAACAAUUUAGUACUUUGUGAUUUAUUUGUUGAAUAUAUAUAUAUAUGUGAACAUUGUUAUUAAGAAAGAAAAUUUUGUUACACGGCCACUCCACAAGAUGACACGUGACACCAGAAAAAGUAAAAUGAUUAACUUUGACAUUAACAACACUAAUUAAAAUUAAUCAUAAUUAAAAACAUUUUGAUUGAUUUUGAAAACAAAAGAAAAAAUAAUAAUUCCUUGCUUCGAAGCCAACAAAUUCUUCCUUCUUUGCUUCUUCUCUUCUUCAUUAUUCACUUCUCCAACUUCCUCCACAUGAAUAAAAAAUUGUAGGUUAGUAGUUGGCACCCUUCUUUGUCAUCUCUGCUUUUUUUUCUGACUUUAAUAAUCAAGGUAGAGAAAACCCUAAUAGAGAUCACCUUUGUGUCCUCCCCUCUACAUUUUGUUUUUGCUUAGGGUACUUUCACUUUAACCUAAUAAAUGUUUCUUAAUGUAUAUCUUUUCUUAAUUAAAUUUUAAUUUCUACUUAGGGUUUUCUUCCCUAAUUAAACUGCUUAUUUAUGUAUAUCUUUUGCUAUAAGUGGGUUGGGCCGAAACAUUUUGGUCUUUUUUCAAUAGAUAAGGAUUGGGUUGAGGUUUUUCUUUGAGUUUUGUUUUGGGUUUGGGUCAUAUAAUACUAAUAAUACUAACAAUUGUGAAAAGUUUUAAAGAAUAAAAAUUAGUUGGGAUAAAAUUUAAAACUCCUAUACGAUCUUAACUCCGCUCACUCAGAAUAGUAAUUUGCAUACGUCAGCUAAUUAAAUGAGACUGAUAUAUCAUAUUUUUAGUACAAAAUGGACUAUUAAGUUUAACUAAAAUCAAUUGAACAACAAUUUAUAACUCAAAAAUAUGAAAAAUUAAAAAAUGAAACCAACUUGUUUAUUAGUAUAACAAAAGUACACGUCUAAACGAUGAAUGUACUUAUUACAUAUAUAUUAAGUAACUUUCUUGCAUGUCUCAUAGGAAGAUGUCGAACAUCAUUUGGUCUUGAGAUCUGUAACAUUUAUCAGGUAUUAUUACUACAACCAUUAGUAAAAGAAAAAUGACAUGAGAAGGAAUAAAAAAAUACAUAUAAAAAGGAUCUAUCAGGUUAUAUAUUAGUUAGUAAAUUAUCUAAACAUAAGUAAUAGACUUUAAAUUAGACUUAUACAAUUUAUUGAAUUUUUUAAAAAAAUAAACUGAUAACGCUUAGAUGAUCUAUGAACUCAUUUAUAUUCUUUAAGCAAUAUUUGAUAAGAACAUAUUACCGGAUGACAAAAAUGUUGUGGGUUGAUCAUGAGCAUCUACCGUACAUUGGUUUAAACAUGCAGAUAAACAAGCCCCUCGGAAUCUACCCAAGCAUUUGCUCGAACAUCUUCGAUAGCAGUCUUCGUCAACUUUGGCUUCCAUAGCCACGACAAGAAGAAGCAACAGAACGCUGAUAAUCAUACCUCUACCCAUUUUCUUCUAUCUGAUGUUUUUACUUCAGUUUGUUUAUUAUUUAUAGAGCUUUACUAGUACUUUACCAAUAAAAUAUAUUUAAUGUGCGGUUGUUUCUUCCAUGUAAAACUAGAAUUCCCUUCACUUUUUUCUUCGCAAUACGCAAAAGAAUUUUGUAACCGGCCAUAAAUUUAAUAUUAUAAUUUUACGAUAAUAAAUUAUGUGUAACGUUUUCAUAAUUAAACAAAUUAAGUAAGAAAGUAUCCACUAAGAAAAAAAUAAAUUAGAUGUCAAAUCUUUGCUAUAAAUGCAUUGGAUUUAUUUAUAAUUAAAAAUAAAAUUCAUUAAGUGAUGUCUAAAAACAGAUUGAAUUCAUUAAAUAAACAACUGAAUAAUUUUGAAAUUAAUUAUAAAAAUGAUCAAUUUAAGCAUUUUUUUUAGUAAUAAUAAUGGUACAAUAUGUCUAAUAAAGUAUUAAAUAAUAAUUUUAGGAGAAGAAUAUUUUAGAAAUCUCUAUUUUAUACUUGAAAUAUUUUUAAUUAAUUUCGUACAAAAUAAAAUAACUUCAAUCAAUCUGUGAAUUAUAUUCUCAUAUUACAAAUUAAAAAGUUAAGAUUUUUACUUAAAAUAAUAUUAAAUGAGUCUAAAUUUUUCUUUUUUUGGGGUUACAAUUAUAAUUGUUAUAAAUCGGGUUCCUAAUUUUUGCUUCUAUUUUCGUCCUUAACCUUUUUGUAGCAGCCCCGAAAAUUUAAAAUGAAUUUUAUAUUAUAAAUAUCAAAUGCAGAAGCGAAGUCAAAAUUUGAAUAACAUCCCUUACACUAAAACUAAAAACGUGCUCACAAAAUAUAAAAGAUCAAACUACCAAAGGAGAAACUUGAAAGUAAAAACUACGAAUGUGACUAUGGAGUCUUUAGGCGUCCCCUUCGUCGUCCUCCUGCGGAACCGGCUCGGGAACGAUGUCCUCUUGAUCUGAAAUGAUUAAAUAAGGAAUGAGCUACACUAGCCCAGUAAAGACAUCACGAUAUCUCACCGUCACGGAGGUAAAGGUGGGUAGAAAACACAAAAAGACCGAUGGAGCAUAAUUUACAACAAAUCCUUUUAUUAAUAAUAAAACCUUUACCAUUCACUUACCUUGGUGAAAUUCAUAAAACAAUAUACGAAAGCAAUAACAUCAUCAUCAUCAUGAAAACAUAUAUAUGAACUGUAUAACAUAAUACCUAUCAAACUUUUCGUAAUUCAAUCGUUACACAACAUAUUUUCCUAAUUCACCAGCCCACUACUAUCCAUGAGGAUCCAUAGGGGUCCCGCUACCCGUUAAUCCUUAACACUUGAAAUCCAUUCCAGGGCCGUCCCCAUACCCCGUCCGGUAUGGGCGCCAAAACACAUAAGAUCUCCAUACCCCGUCCGGUAUGGGAGACCACAAUCCCGGUAGGGUUCCCUACGAACCCGGUCUGUCCACCAUCUCCCAGGAUAUCUAGUCAGGCUGACCACAGUAUACAAUUUCCAUUUACAUAAUCUUUCAUUCUCCUUUUCCCUCAGUCAGCAUUAUCAAUCACAUACAAACAAGCAAAACGAUAGUUUAUGCCAAACAGACAACAUACAACAUCAAUAUCCCAGUCAUUCAAUCCAUAAUCAAUAAAACAGUAGAAUAUGCACACGAAACUAUAAAAUGAAAACAUCAAAUCUCAUACUGCAUUUAAAACUGUAAACAGGCCAAAUAACAGUUAACCGACAAACACACUAGACUCGGGCUCCAUUAGCGACCUUAAGUAAUUUCACACAUUCGUUGAUUCAUGAAAUACCAUUUUAUCAUUUAUUGAACUUUAAAACCGUGAUAGGAAAUAGGGUGAGGGGUCCUUACUCGUUUUGGGGUCCGAACACGGCUUCACAGUGCGCUUGCAGGCUGUCCCUAAUUUUCCCUAAAUUUUUCUCGGAGAACUGAAACGCACUACUGGUACCUGCACGUAUUCCAAAAAAUCCCAAAUUAGGCCCAGGGCCCCUUUCGGCCAAUAUCGUAUCUCCGGCACGGCGGCUCCGCCGUGCUCCGACGACGGCGCCGCCGCAAACGGCGGCGGUUUGCCUCGGGUUGGCCGUUUUCGACCGAAUUCGGCCACACUCGCAUUGGUUCCUGCAAUAAAACAACCCUACGGCCCUCGGGGGGCUGAAAAUUUACGGAAAACCGAAGCUUACCGGCGGCGGUGCUCUCGGGUGCGGCGACUCUCCGGUGAAGUUCGUGUUUUGGUGAUUCGGCUCCGAUCGAUCUGUAGAGAAAAUAAUGGUGAUCACGGUGAUAUAAAAAUUGCAUUAAACGGAGGCCGGGAAGGGCCUCAUCGGAGGCAAAAACCGAGAAGGGGCGCGGCGGCGCCGCUGGCUUUCGGCCGUGUUUUCCAGCCGUUUGGCUGGGAUUUUGGCUCCGAUUUGGCCACUGGAGAAAUCAGCGUGGAAAAACGAGUCGGGGGUAUGAAAUUUACCUCGAUCGGCGAUUGGAAAUCCCUCCGGUGCGGCGGCGGGUGGCGGUGGCCGGCUUCUGGUUCGUCUUCUCCAGCGAGGGCAGGCGGCUAGGGUUUGGGGUCUGGUGUGGGGGUCUUAUUUAUACCCUUUUGUCUUUUGAUCUCAGCUGUCCAUUUUUUUUUAAUCUGGGCCGUCCGUUUUUGAUUAAAUCUGGGUCGUCCGUGCGCGCGAUUGAUCUGGGCCGUCCGAUCGCGCGCACGCGGAUCGCCAACGUGGCCCGUCCCUGGUCGACGUGGUUUUGCCACGUGGUAGGUCCUGGUUGGCCAGGCCUGCUGACUAGGUCUGCUGACGUGGCUGCUGACGUGGCACGAGCGUUUUUUUUUUUUUUUUUUUUCUCCUUCUUGAAUUUUCCCUAGGCGCUACACUUUUUGUCCUUAAAAUUAAGAAAUCAUCUUUUUAUUUAGCUUCCAAUUUUAUUUCUGCAUUUGUAAUACCUGAACCAAAAAUUCGGUCUAGGAUAAUUCCUUUUAUUUAAAAAAGCUAUAUAAAUAAUUAAUUAAUUUUAAUUUUAAUUUAAUUUUGUUUAAAUUAUUGAGAAAAAAUGAAAUAGGGACAAAUUUGAAAAUAAUUUUGGGGAAAAGGGGUGAAAUUUUGACUAAAGGGAGUAUUUUUGAAAGAAAACUUGAAAACAGGGGGUAAAAUCGUAAAAAUAAAAAAUUCGGCCACGUGGGACGACUCAGUCAGCAGUCACGACGAAUCAGAACACGCCGCAUGGCAAAACACACUGACAUUGGCGCCACGUAGGUGAUCCGUGUGCUUGGCGAUCCGAUGGUCUUGAUCAAGUCCCACGCGCACGGACAGCUCAGAUGCAUUCUCUCUUUAUGCACGAUCGGACUGGCGAGGUCAAUCACGGUGAACGAUCCAGAUUCGCCCACACAAUCGGCCUAAAUAGGACACAAUUGGACAGUUCUCCUCACUCCACCUCGACGCCGACGGAUGGCCCAGAUUGACACAGGAUGGGUAUUUAAACAUGCGUCUCAGGGAACUCUUACCCUAGCCGCACUUAUCCUUGCUGGAGAAGAACCAGACGUUGGAGACGAAGAUCGACGCCCGACUACCGCCGCACCGGAGGCAACGUCGACCUCCAAAAAAGGAAAUUUUUUUUCUUAUCGCUCGAAAUUCGAUUCUGAGUCUCUCUGUGGUCAUAUCGGAGCAAAAGGGACAGUGGGUGAGCUGAAAAUUGUGGGCAAAUCCCGACGGAGCCGCGACGAUAAAAACCCUAAAACCUCUUUGAUGAGCCCAUUCUCGUUUCUUUUUUUACACAAUUUUUUGACUAUUGUGUUCACCGUCCUUUUUUGUGCAGGUUAUCUGAAGAAGAAACCCCAGUCACGAAGGAGAACCAGCAGAGCUGCCGCACCUGGAGACCCCCCGCUGAUAGGUUCUAUUUUUUUAUUUUUUUGCCAACCGAGGCCCUUAACAUGUUUUUCUUCAGGGAUAAGUGUAAAACUGGCCAAAACUAGUCAAAACCGGCCAGGCUAAAAGAAACCACCAUCGUGGACAGUGAAGCCAGCACCGGAGCAUGGCGGUGCCACCGUGCCGGAACCCUAAAAUUGGCCUAAAAGGGUUUUCAAUACUGAUUUUAGGUUUGGGGUAUUUUUAGGUAUGUGACGAGUAUUUUGAUUCACGUAGAAAAAUUUAUGAAAUUCGAGACCCGUUAGGAGGCGUAGUAGAUAGUACAAUAUUUUAAAAAACAGAUUCGGAUAAGGAUCCCUCACCCUAUUCUUUGUUACAGUAAAUUGAAGAUUAAUAAUCAAUAAUUAUGUAUUUUCUAAAAAAUUAGAAAUAUCUUUAAAAUAAUUAUAGGUUACUAAUGGAGUCGGAACUGGUUAGUUCAUAUUUGUCCUAAUUUCCUGCUUAUUUUUCUUGUACAGCCUAAAUUACUUAAUAUUAUAUUGUGAACAUUUAAAUUAAUUGUUUUUAUGACCUUCUCGAUUAUUUGGUUUAUUUGAUUUUUCCUGCAUUAUUUAAUUGGUUAUCUAGUUACUUGAUUAUUCGGUUAUGUUAAACUAUAUCAUUUGCUUAAAUACCGUUUAAUUAAUCGGUGAAUAUGAAACGAGACGUUGGUAUGAUUUGGUAGUUGUUUGGUUGAUGAGAAUCUAAAUAAAUGAAAGCUUACUGGGCAUCCUGGGAAAGGGUGGACAUACCUGGUACAUAGGAAACUUUACCGUGGAUAUUACCUCAGUCGAAUGGGGCUGAGAAGUCCUAUACCGGAAGCAUUUUCGGAGAUAUGGUUGACCCUCAUACAGGACGAGGUAUCGAGGCGAUGUUGUUUUUGGCGCCCAUUACCGGACGGGAUAUGGAGACGACCGGGUUAAUUGUCAAAACUUGAUACUGUGUCUACGAGUAGAGGAAUAUCCAUAUGAACCCCUAAGGGUCCUAGUAAGUAGGUUAAAAGGAAGAAUUACUGAUCUUAUGUAAAAAAUUAAAAUGUCACUUGGUUAUUUGUUUUCAUAACUUUUUUUUUUGAAAAAAUUUGUAACGGUAAAUAUAAAAUAAAACAUUUUAGAGUUAAAUGUAUUAGCUUAAAUCAAGGGCUCCAUUAGUUAUUUUGUAAUUUUUACCAACAUUUAGUUUUUUGUAUCAGUGAUUAGUGUGAUAUUCUUACUGGGUUAGUAUAGCUCACUCUUUCAUUAAUUAUUUUAUAUCAAGAAGACCAAGAUUCAGAUCCUGAUCAGCGAGAGAGUUGUGAGUAGUUCAUCUCUUGGACUCCCUUCAAGUGCUAGUGGAGGUUAACCCCUAUGAUAUCUAUUUAUUUGUUUUUAAUUACUGUUUGUUUUUUUUAAAGAAAUAAUAUAUAAGAGACAUUCCCGUAUUCCUAUUGGGCAUUCCAAUUUACUGUGUAAGGAAUGUAAAUCCUAAUUUUAUUAUUUGCUUCCGCAUUAAAGAUAUAAAUUCAUGUCAUUUAAAGUUUCGGGUCUUUACACCAUUAAUUUUAUAGUUAAUUUAAAAUUUAAACAUUAAGCAAAAUAAAAUAUAAUCUGAAAUAGUAUUUUGACGUAAUUAAAAUUCAAUGAUAAAUACAAAAUAAUAUUUGACAAUAGUUUAAAAUUUAAUGAUAAAUACAAAAUAAUAUUUAACAAUAGUUAAUUUUAUAUUUAUAAAAUACUAACACAUUCUUGACAUUCCAAGUGCAACAAAUGUUAAAGGAAAAUGAAGUGAACUUUAAAACAUCAAGGAAAAUGAAAAGUGAAAGUUAAUUCAAGUACGAAAUGUAAAAAAAUUAUUUUGUAUUUUUUGUAUAAUUAGAUGAUUUAAUUUAAAGUUCAAAAAUUAUUAUUUUUCCAUUUUAUUCUAAAUUUUCUUUGAGAUUUAAAAAUCUUGAAAGCUUCAUUUUAGAAUGUUUGUCCAACUUUUAUGCUAAUUUUAAUUUGAUCCUUGUGAUUUAACUUUUUCACUUUAGUAUCUUAUGGUUUUCAUAUUAGAUAUUCAAUAUUUUCUAGUUUAGCUGUUAAAUAUAUACAUGAAGGGUAUUAGCAACGAAGAAAAUUUUGUUAUGUGGUCACUCACAAGCUGACACAUGGCACCAUAUUAACUAAACUGAUUAACUCAAGAAAUAACAAUAUUAGUCCAAAUCAAUUCUAACUAAAAAAAAUUAAAUUAAAUUUAAAAACAAAAAAAAAUCUCUGAUUUCUAAGGCAACAAAUUCUUCCUUUUUACUUCUCCUCUUCAUCGUUCUUCGUUUCCCCAAACUUCGUCCGCAUUUAAUCAAGAAUUGUAAGUUAUUUGUUGGCACCUUUCUGUGUCAUUUCUUCUUCUCUUAGGUUUUCAGAACCAAGAUAGAGAAAACCGUAAUCAAGAUGACCUUUGUGUCUUCCCUAUAUUUCCUUUCUGCUUAGGGUGCUUUCAUUUUGACCCAACAAUUGAUUCUCAAUGUAUAUCUUUUGCUUAAUUAAAUUUUAGUUUUUGCUUGGGGUUUCCUUUUUUAAUUAAAUUGCUUCUCCAUGUAUAUCUUCUGCUUAAUGUAUAUUUUUUGCUACAAAAGCAUGGUACUUCAACAUACCUAAUGUCACACAAUCUUUACCUGAUUAACAUAAUACUUCAAAUCAUUUAAUGCUACAAAUCAUGAACGCAUUGAUUCUGUAUUUGAUAAUCCACUAACUUCUAAAGUAAUAUUUAUAUGGUUAAUGUAUAUCUUUUGCUAUAAAAGCAUGGUACUUCAACUCACCUAAUGUCACACAGUCUUUAACUGAUUUGCAUAAUACUUCAAAUCGUUUAAUGCUGCAAAGCAUGAAGGCGUUGAUUCUGUAUUUGAUAGUCCACUAACUUCUAAAAUAAUAUCAUAUGAUUAUUUUUAUUAAUACAUAAUAUGCAAUUAAUUAAUUCAUAAUUUUCCAUGUUUGUUGAUGUAUUGUAUUGUUAUAAUAUUUUUAAUAUCAUUUUUAUUUAAAUUUGGAAUAAUUAUUGAAAUAAUUUUGAGUUAAAAAUGAAUUAAUUAGUAAAAUUUUGAUGUUGGUGAUAUUGUUAAGAAAAGAGCAAAAAAAAACUGAAAAUAGAAGAAGAAGCCUAAAACCCAAGCCCAAAUAUUGAACAACCCAUCCUAGUAGCCACGUCAAAACCAAAAAAAAAAAAAAACAGGGAAAAAUAAUUACAGAAAGCAGAAGAGGAAAAUAAAGAAGCGGCUGAAGAGAAAAAAAAGAAAAAGAAAAAGAAUCAGCUAAGAAAGAAAAGGGGCUCAAAAGGAAAAAAAGUUCAAAAAAAAAAAGAAAGAGAAAACCCCAUCUCUUCUCUUGCAGCGGCCUAUUAAAAAAGGGAGGCAACAAAAAGGAAAAAAAACAAAAGAAAAAGAGAGAAAACUUGCAAAGAGAGAGAGAUGGGAGCUAGAGAGAGAAAGCAGCAACCCAAUCUGCGAACUUAGUGAACGCAAGCAGAGGCGAAAGGAAGCAAAUGCGGUGGAGAGAGAGAGAGGAGCUGAGAAAAAUUUAGUAAUUUUAUUUUUAAUUAACUUAGUUUUGGGCAAACAGAUUUAGGAUAUUAUGAUGAAAUCUGAACGUUAGCAUUUGAGAUUAUUCAGAUGUUUAUUUUUAAUUAAUUACAUGAGUUAUUUUUUUUCAAAUACACUUUGUGUUGCUCAAACCACCAUGUCUAGCUAAAUUUCUUUCGUUAGAGUAAUUGUCGUAACCUGAAUCAAAGGUAAAUUUGCUUUUUAAUUUUUUAGCUUUCUCCUUAUUGCAAUUUAACAUUAUUGAACUUAAUUAGAUUGUGAAAAUUUGUCGGUUCAUAGUUUUAUAUGCGAUUGAUGGUUUUAUAAUUACGAGGGUGAAAUUUUAUCAAUUAAACAUAUAGUGUUAAACAUUAAUAGAGACUUGAAUAAGAGUAAUAUAGUCAAAUUAACGUGGAUCAAUUAAAUUAUUAGAGAUUUAAUUGAAUCAAAUUAAUAAUUGUUAUAAAAGGUUAACAGUUGUUAAUUGAUAGACCUAUGAAAUAAUAGAAAGAAAACCGAAAGUAUAUUAGAAUAUUUCGACCAUUACAGAUUAGAUUAAAUCGAUUGCGAAAUCAAAACGUGAAUAUAUCCAAGAUUCAUGUUAAUCAAUUACUCUAGUGCGUUUUCGUUGAUAAGUUUUUCUCAAUUUAAUUAUUCUGCUUUGAUUAAAUUAUUUAAAUGUUAUUUCCUGCAUAAACUUAAUUUUGAUUUCUAUAUAAUAAUAUAAUUUUUACAAUUUUGGUAUUUGGUACGUAAUAUCUGUGAUAUGAUAUUCUAUUCAUCACUUUAUUAUUUGAACAAUUUCUUACACUUGAGAAUUCACCUGUCGGUUGUUUAUGAUUUAAAAUUUGUAACAUAUGAAAAUAUUUAUAUGUUAUUCAUCUGCAUCAUAGUCGACAAUUUAUAUUUAAGCCAAAUACUACAUAUGUUGGAGGGGAAGAUGCGUUUGAUUGUUAAGAUGAAGAUUACUUAGUUUUAUUUACAUUUAGAGAUUUUUUUAAUAUCUUGGUGAUUAUAAAAGAUGUAGAAUUAUUUAUUUCAUCCAAUCUAAUUUAUGUUUUGAAUUAGAAUAAACUAAAAUAGGUUCAAAUAGUGAUGUUUAUUUUGUGAAAGAGUUUGUCAUAGGGAAUAUUGUUGAGCUAUAUUUAUCAACAAAUUCUAUACUUUUAAAUGUAAUGUAUGAUGAUGACGGUAGAAGGACAAUAUACACCCUUUAGAAUGUUGACAUGCAUGAGUGUGAGAAUUUAGGUGAUGUAAACAUUCACAGGGGUGAGAACUCGGGGACUGCAAACAUGAAUGAGGAUAAUAAUUUUUUUAUUAUUUUAAGGUUUAGAUGGUUUUUAAUUUUUUUUAUAUAAAUUUAAUUAUUCAAGUUCAGAUCAAGAUCAGAUUAGACCAUAACUAGUUUAAUUUUAUCUAGUUUGGACUGAGCAAUUAGGUAUAGUUUGUCUUUUCGGUCCAUAGUGAACUAUGCACAACCUAAUAACUAAAGAUUGCAUACAUGUAAAAUAAAUUUAAUCGUACAAUCUCUUAAAAUACUAAUAAUAUGAAAAAAUAUUAAUAAUUUUAAAUAGAAAAAUAACUUUUGUGCUAUUUUUAUUGUUUUGUUUAAACCCCCAAUAUUUCGUUCUUUUCUUUUUAAUUAACUCUUAUAUUUUAAAAUUUUUUUCCAACAAAAAAUUUUCUUUCAAACAGUUUAUGUAACUAUUAAAUCAAUGUCACAUGUGCACGUCAUAUAAGGUUGACUUCCUCACUACUAAAAUGAUGAAAUAGAGAUUUUUUAUAUCGUGUUCAAUGUUAGCAACACCUACUAACUAGUCAACGUUACACCAAACCAAUGAAGUAGAGAUUUUUUUCUAUGCCAUGCUCCAUGUCAACAACCUUAUACCAUUUCACAAUUGACGUAAUUUUUCGCUCACACAAACUUGAACCCCUCAAAUUAAAAAUUAAUAUUUUUCUUCUACACCACUGAAGACAAUGAAGUAAAGAUGGUAAUAAGCAAGAUUUCAUCACAUAAAAAUUCUAUACUUCUUUAAAUUACAUGACAAUACUUUUUUAAGUUGGAUUUAAUUUCAAAAAUGUAUAUAACUCCUCUUUUUUAUUCUCACCCAUAUAUGUAACGAUCUGCUUUCUCUGCUGAGAAAGAAGUGUUACCACAUAUAUAAAAACCUAAUAAACACGCAUCAAUAUGCUAAAAUUUUUAAUUCAAUCAUCCACUGUAUGCAGUUACAAUUUGUGAGUCUCACAAAAUUCUUAAGUUACAUUAUGAUAACAUAUUUAGAUCUAAAGUAGAAAAUAAAAUAUCUAAAAUUAAUAAACAUUUUUCAGAGUCUUCAUUUGACCUUAAAUAUGCUCUUGAUUCGAACUAAUCUGCUCUGAGGGGGUGUGAAUUAAGGUGAGCUUCAUGGGCUCAAUAAAAAAAGGGUAGUGCCCAUACAGAGGCAUGCAAACAACCAAUCAUACAAGUUUUAGGAAAACAAAUGCUGAUUUUAAAGCAAAAUACCCAAACAUGGAAAACAAUACAACAAUAACAAAGUUUCUCAUUCUUCAUUCCACAUAUCAGUUUCUUUUUCCUUUGAUACUGACCUCAUAUAUCCCAAUCUCAUAUUCAUUAACAAAUUAUCAUUAGAACAUAUUCAUAAUCGGAAGCUAUACAUAUAAAUUAUAUGCGAAUGAUUCCGUAAAGAAUGAGAAAUGAGAUUUUUUUGAUAAAUGGGGGAAAUUUAAAAAAUAGUGCUCGUGGAUGGAAAUGAGGGAAAGUCUACAAUACCUGGGUUGAAUUAGAUACAAUUUGAAGGAUUUUGUAGGUUUAUUAAUAAGUGUCAUGAUUAGAAAAGAUUUAUAUUCAAAUACCAUACAUAAACAUCAAAACACAUCACAUUCAUGUUCGGACAACUUGCGUUCUCAUGCAUAAACACAGUUACAUCUUAUCAAAUAUAUAACCAAAUGUAAUACAUGUAUUAGAUCAAUUCGUUUCUCUCUUCCGUUUGAUAUUUAGAGUUUCACAUACCUUUAGAUUUCACAAUGUAAUGCCUUUUUAACCAAUAUUAUUUAAUACAUAAGGAUCCCCUCUAUAUGUGAAUACUCAAACAAUUCCAUAACCAAUAAGUAAUCGUUGGCUAUCCUCAUACCCCAACCCAUGUGGGUGCCAUAAUUAUCAACCAUCCUCAUACCCUC
rnacentral:lncRNA from 1 species